AGUGUGCAGUCCUGUCAGCCCUCCAGCAGUGUGAGAUUUGGGCAUGCCACAAAGAAGCCAUGCCCCACACAUGUGCGUGGAUGCUGCUUCUGUGUGGGUAACCAGCUCGAAAAUAAGACCUUACACAUACCUGAAGUGCCUGUUGGCCCACAGCCAGUGGAAAGUUUCUCUUCUUUCUGGAUAUAGUCAGAAACAUGACCAUGUAAAAAAAUGGCACCAAUUCACCCCAAGUGUGUGCUGCUGAGAACAACACCUACCUGGCAUGCACUCAAGCAUAUUGGUCCUGAAGACAUUAUGAGAUGGCUACUUYGUAUCUUUCUCAAGCARCCUAYACCUGCUACUGGAAAAAUUUUUAAMUGCAGAAAUUACUUUUCAUGUAGCAAUAUAGACCUGAUAAUUUCCUAUGUCUGUACAAUUAAAACAKCAGUUCCUUUUUAUUUUCAACAACCAUUUGCUUGCUGAAAGUAAGUUACCAUUUCUCCUUCAAUUUUCCUUACACAACCCUGAUUCUUUUAGUCUUUUUUCAUAGAGAGCAUUUUCUACAUUUCGGGCAGCUCUUCUUUUUUUGUGGCAGUGCCUCUGUAAGUUUAAGGAAUAAAAUUUCAGUGAAGCCUUCUCACUACUAAGUAGAGUGUAGUAUCACUUUUCAUGAUGUGAAGGCUUGAAUUUCUGUUUGUACACAUACAAUAAUUUGCCUUUUCCACACCAGUCCAUCAUUGCURUUUCACAUUCAGCUAAUGCACAAAUCCCUUUUUCAAAGAGAUUCCUUUCUAAUCAAAAUAUCCUUCUGCAUUUUUAGCAUUAUAAAAUUUACUACAUGUGCAACUCCAGAGUCUACCUGAACUUAAUCCAUUGGUCUUGCUGUCAUCCCACCUGCUUUUUUCAGACCAUUUCUACAACAUUUUAAAACCAUCUGGAGUCACAUGUUUUGUUGAGAUGCAUGGUAAAACCUUUUCCUCUGUGUGCAAAAUCUUGUUUUCCUAAAUACUCCCAAGGCUGUACUUUUUCUACUUAGCCUUAAAUCUUACCUAUUUUUUGUUGGRUUGGCUGUGCUAAUUGCAUCCUCAYAUUUGGCCAUUUUAGAUGCAAUUAWAAAASAUGUGAAACACUUUGAUCUGCUCAUUGUAAUCUCCCCAUUAUCUUUCCUCUUCAUGGAGUAAUGAGCUAACAUUUUCCUCCAUCUUCUUUUUAAUCAAUGAUUGAAUUCUGUUACCUUUGUUGUCUCUUGCUAAUUUAAUUUCAAGUUUCCAGACCUUGCUUUACAUGGCURUGUUCAUACUCAUCCUUGGACAUCUGGUUUUGCUUCUACUUGUUGUGGUUCCUUAUUGUCUUUGAGAUCAAUGAAGAGAAGUGAGUGUUUUUCAUUUAUAGUCUUUUUUUCUGCAUCUAAACRUCAGCCUUUAGCACUGUUUCUUUGGGGAACUCUCCCAAAGCCCUCUGUUUUUUUGCAUUUUCCCCAGCAUAUUGAGGUCUGUCUAGCUGAAACCCAUUGGUUUGGGUUCUCUUCUGCCUUGCCUCUCCAAAGACCAUGAAAGCUACYUUUCAUGGUUACUCUUGCCUUCCACCUUCCCUUUCCUACACUGCUCCUCCCUUGUGCUAAGACUCAAACCCAGAGGACUUUUUCCUUUAAUUCCUUUCUGGGUCUUCUGAAUACAAACAAAGGUUGUGAUAACUCUGUGACAUAAAGGUGCUGAAAAUUUUUUAAGCUACUGAAUUCAUUUGUUCAACAAAUGUCUCUAAAUGUAGCUUCCACUUCCCACAAGACCUGUGCUUCAGAUAUCUUUGUUAGUUACUCUCAAAGAGCCUCAUACACCUAAUCUUCAUGAAUGGAUGCCCUUUAACAGACUCCAGCAAAUUCUGACAAUGGCAUCCUAUUUCCACCUUUGCAUACUUUCAGCAAGGCCAACUCCAUCUGUCUUCUGGAUUUCAGAACAAGUUUAUAGACAAGGGUCACAGUGACACCUCUUUUAUAUCUCUGCUGUCCAUUCUCCUUGAACAAGUAGCAUCUGUCAGCAUUCCAGUCAUAUGAGUGAUCUGACCAUGUCUGUGAUUUCAGUGAAGCUGUAAGUUUGAUCCUAUAUUAA